GACGAACGCUGGCGGCGUGCCUAAUACAUGCAAGUCGAACGCAGUUGGGACGGGUGAGUAACACGUGGGUAACCUCCCAUCAGAGGGGAUAACACUUGGAAACAGGUGCUAAACCGAUACUGAUGGAUGGACCGGGGGGGCAUUGGCUAGUUGGUGGGGUAACGGCUCACCAAGGCCACGAUCCAUAGCGGGCCUGAGAGGGUGAUCGGCCACACUGGAACUGAGACACGGCCCAGACUCCUACGGGAGGCAGCAGUAGGGAAUCUUCCGCAAUGGACGAAAGUCUGACCGAGCAACGCCGCGUGAGUGAAGAAGGUUUUCGGGUCGUAAAACUCUGUUGGUGGAGAAGCGGUAUCUAACCAGAAAGCCACGGCUAACUACGUGCCAGCAGCCGCGGUAAUUC
rnacentral:rRNA from 1 species